UCCCUGGCAGUCCAGUGGUUAGGACUCCUUGCUUCCAAUGCAGGGGGCGCAGGUUCGAUCCCUGGUCAGGGAA
rnacentral:tRNA from 1 species